rnacentral:rRNA from 1 species
CAGCCGCCGCGGGAAUACGAAGGGGGCUAGCGUUGUUCGGAUUAACUGGGCGUAAAGGGCGCGUAGGCGGGUUUUUAAGUCAGAGGUGAAAUCCCAAGGCUCAACCUUGGAACUGCCUUUGAUACUGGAAGUCUUGAGUCCGGGAGAGGUGAGUGGAACUGCGAGUGUAGAGGUGAAGUUCGUAGAUAUUCGCAAGAACACCAGUGGCGAAGGCGGCUCACUGGCCCGGUACUGACGCUGAGGCGCGAAAGCGUGGGGAGCAAACGGGAUUAGAUACCCCAGUAGUCCCUGUCUCUUAUAA